AUGAUUUGUUUUCAUAUACAUUAUAAUUCAGAGGCAGGUUGGAUUCUGGAAAUCAGAGUCAAUGGUGGAUCAGAGAGGCGCCAUAUUAGUUCAGUUGUUAUCUACCUUGAUGCCAUACUAAUUUCUGUGAAUCCAAAAUUGCUGGCACCAGUUCCUGUUGCCUGUUGGUGCAAGGACCCACGCCUUCCAUCUGAGAAAUGUAAAGGAUGGAUCAAUUGGCAUGGUCAGCUCAUGUAUAGUUCUUUGUCUCUCUGGAAGAUGACAUGCAUCUCACCACACAAUCCCAGCUUUUUUAGGCAAGAUAUCCUCAAUGGCUGUUACGCCUUGGUUCCCAACAUCACAUGCUUUGUGGGCGAGUGCAUGAUAAUGGCAACUUGGUGUUCGCCUACUAAAAGGAAGGAGCUGUUGAGCUAA
rnacentral:rRNA from 1 species